GAGUUUGAUCUUGGCUCAGAACGAACGCUGAUGGCGUGCCUCAUACAUGCAAGUCGAGCGCCCGCAAGGGAGCGGCGAACGGGUGAGUAACGCGUGAACAAUCUGCCUCAAAGUAGGGGAUAACCAUUCCAACGGAUGGCUAAUACCGCAUAGGUUUGGGGUCGCAUGGCCCUUCACGAAAGCAGUGAUGCGCUUUUGAGAUGAGUUCGCGUCCCAUUAGCUAGUUGGCGGGGUAAACGGCCCACCAAGGCAACGAUGGGUAGCCGGCCUGAGAGGGUGUCCGGCCACAUUGGGACUGAGAUACGGCCCAGACUCCUACGGGAGGCAGCAGUAGGGACUUUUUGCGCAAUGGGGGAAACCCUGACGCAGCAACGCCAUGUGUGGGAUGAAGCA
rnacentral:rRNA from 1 species